rnacentral:rRNA from 1 species
GACGAACGCUGGCGGCGUGCCUAAUACAUGCAAGUUGAGCGAUGAAGCUUGGUGCUUGCACCAAUUUGAAGAGCAGCGAACGGGUGAGUAACGCGUGGGGAAUCUGCCUUUGAGCGGGGGACAACAUUGGGAAACGAAUGCUAAUACCGCAUAACAACUUUAAACAUAAGUUUUAAGUUUGAAAGAUGCAAUUGCAUCACUCAAAGAUGAUCCCGCGUUGUAUUAGCUAGUUGGGGAGGUAAAGGCUCACCAAGGCGAUGAUACAUAGCCGACCUGAGAGGGUGAUCGGCCACAUUGGGACUGAGACACGGCCCAAACUCCUACGGGAGGCAGCAGUAGGGAAUCUUCGGCAAUGGACGAAAGUCUGACCGAGCAACGCCGCGUGAGUGAAGAAGGUUUUCGGAUCGUAAAACUCUGUUGGUAGAGAAGAACGUUGGUGAGAGUGGAAAGCUCAUCAAGUGACGGUACCUACCCAGAAAGGGACGGCUAACUACGU